AUGCGUAUCGGAAAGCUUCGGCCGGAAGAUACGUUAUCUAGUGGCGGACGGGUGAGUAACACGUGGGUAACCUGCCUUAUGGAGGGGGAUUACAGAGAGAAAUCACUGCUAAUACCGCAUAAGCACACAGUACCGCAUGGUACAGGGUGAAAAGAUUUAUCGCCAUAAGAUGGACCCGCGUCUGAUUAGCCAGUUGGCAGGGUAAAAGCCUACCAAAGCAACGAUCAGUAGCCGAUCUGAGAGGAUGACCGGCCACAUUGGGACUGAGACACGGCCCAAACUCCUACGGGAGGCAGCAGUGGGGAAUAUUGCACAAUGGGGGGAACCCUGAUGCAGCGACGCCGCGUGAGUGAAGAAGUAUUUCGGUAUGUAAAGCUCUGUCAGCAGGGAAGAUAAUGACAGUACCUGACUAAGAAGCCCCGGCUAACUACGUGCCAGCAGCCGCGGUAAUACGUAGGGGGCAAGCGUUAUCCGGAUUUACUGGGUGUAAAGGGAGCGUAGACGGAAUGGCAAGUCUGAAGUGAAAUACCCGGGCUCAACCUGGGAACUGCUUUGGAAACUGUUGUUCUAGAGUGUUGGAGAGGUAAGUGGAAUUCCUGGUGUAGCGGUGAAAUGCGUAGAUAUCAGGAAGAACACCGGAGGCGAAGGCGGCUUACUGGACAAUAACUGACGUUGAG
rnacentral:rRNA from 1 species